rnacentral:rRNA from 1 species
UUGUACAGUGAAGACGUAGCUCUUGCGGAAGGCGGCCUCUGUAACUUCCUUGGAACAGGAGACCAGAGAGGGUGAUAGUCCCGUGCCAGAGGCUGCUGAUCGAUAGAGCGCGUUCUAAGAGUCGGGUAGUUUGGGAUUGCUGCCCUAAGCGGGAGGUAGACUCCUCCUAAGGCUAAAUAUUAACGAGAGACCGAUAGUGGACAAGUACUGUGAAGGAAAGAUGAAAAGAACUUUGGAAAGAGAGUUAAAAGACUUGAAACCGUUGAGGAGGAAGCAGUGUGCU